UACGAAGGGGGCUAGCGUUGUUCGGAAUCACUGGGCGUAAAGCGCACGUAGGCGGGUCUUUAAGUCAGGGGUGAAAUCCUGGAGCUCAACUCCAGAACUGCCUUUGAUACUGAAGAUCUUGAGUUCGGGAGAGGUGAGUGGAACUGCGAGUGUAGAGGUGAAAUUCGUAGAUAUUCGCAAGAACACCAGUGGCGAAGGCGGCUCACUGGCCCGAUACUGACGCUGAGGCACGAAAGCGUGGGGAGCAAACAGG
rnacentral:rRNA from 1 species